rnacentral:tRNA from 1 species
AUCAAGUUAGUUUAUAGAAAAUUUCAGGAUGUGGGCUUGGAGAAGAAAAUAGUUGAUUUCACUUGAUA